CAGCUCCUGUAAGCAAAGAUUAUCUCUGUAUGAAUGUAGGCGCUGGUAACAGCGCGGCAAGGGGCCACCACGAAACUUGUCGAUCCGUACAAAUUUCAAGGCCGAUGCGAGACGUCGCGCGGGUACACGUGCGUCGUCUCUCAAGGCCGUGACAAUAGUAUGAUCUUCGUCGUGUUCCUUGCCCGGGUCCUUGAGCGGUAUAGGUGCGAGAAACGCGACUUUUGCGCGCUGAUACGGUCUGUCGACGUCUCGCAGUUGUCAGGAAGUUGCAUUCAGUUUACUGGAGAAAGGAAGAAGUGUAAAAGCACUGAUGCGUGGAAAAUGGGGCAAUCUCCAUGUGGAGAUCAUUUUCCUACACAUUUUACGCUAUACGUUGCCGAACAAAAUUAUUUCUAUGAGACAAUUUUUAAGAAAUGAAUAAGUAGAUAAGUCACGAUAAGUUGAAAGGGAGAGUAUUCUGAUUUGAUUUCAUUGAAUUUUAUAUUUCAAUGAAUUUAAUCGCUAGAAAUGGUUAGGAAUAUUGUUUGAAAAUUGGAAUUGAGUACUCAUAGAAAUAUAAUUUAUUCGUUAUUGUAUGUCUUUGGAAAGACUGGCGAGGAAAUUAUUGGAAUUAUUAAAAAUCGGUAAUUGAUUCUAUUAAAAUGAUAAAAUGAUAAAGAAAAUUCCAUUAAAAUGAUCCUGUUGUACCGAGUAAUGUAUCAGAGGCGAACAUGUUUUGUGCGCGUGAUAAAUUGAUAACGUUAACACGAAGUCAACAUUCGUACGAUAUUACAGGGAAGAUCGACUUUAAGACAAUCGUUAAACAAAAGUCCAAUAAAAAUUUCGUUUAGAACGAGAUCGUUUGACCAACCGAGAUACAUUCAACUUUGGAACACGACUAUUCGUAAUUAAUAGAAUCGUAAGAAUCAUCGAGAACUUUAAACAGUACAAACGUUUACCUCUCGGUUAAAGGAGAAGUUACAAAAGGACAGAGCAGCAUAGACUCGUAAGAAACUUCCAUUGCGCCUGAUAAAACAAAUCUCAAAUGAUGAAACAUUUAAAUUUAAAGCAUGAAAUGCAAGAGGAUGACUUUGUGUUUCCUAUUGUUUGGCACAUAAUUAAAUCGUAUUGUACGUAUCACUGUGGCACUAUACGUGAAACUGUGUUGCAGUGGGAUAGUAUCGAUUACCUGGGCGCAGGAUAUUUAUGGAUGUUCUAUUAUAGCACCGAACGUUAGAAUUACGUAUGGAACGUUCACGUGUAGUAUAUAGUUCACGUAUAGUAUAUAGUUUACGUGUAGUAUACACCAUUCUACGUUGGUGAAAAAAAAAAGUGUUCUCUACUAGUGUCAUAUUUAUUUUUAUCGUCCUUUUCUGCGAUAACACGUGACAGAUAUUUGAAGCGCGUCGGUGACCGUGUAAUUCAGCUGUAAGUGAAAUAGAUUCGUAAAGAUCAGACACGGCGGCAACUGUACGUAAUUCGGUAACCAAGUCGUAGUAUCUCUAUUAUACAAUGAUUGUCAACACAGUCGUUGCGAUUACUAAUUUUGUCAAAUUCACGGACAGUUGCGCUACGAUCUAUCAUAAUAUAAACAAACUCCUAAGCUAAAAAAUAGAAUAUAUAAUAGCGUGUUGAUCGAAAACAUCAGCCAUUUUCCUAAAUAUAAUUCUCCUUCCGUCUUCUAACUGGCAAUAUAUCUAUUACUAUGUAACGAAAUCUCGGUUCGUUUCUCGCUAACGCUUAUAAACUAAUAUAGGGGGGACAAUUAUUUAACGGGAGAAACUAAACGAGUUAAUUGACACCAAUUAAGACUUCGCCGAAAUAAGUGGGAUUCUACAACAGUUCGCUCUUCUUCUACGUGUCAAAUUGUCUCAAGUAAGUAACACAAAUAACUUUCAAACAGCUGCUCCAAUUUCCAGUAAAAAAAAAGAAUAACAAAGCUCGACGAUAUUCAGUAGCUUCGUCGAUAAAAUUCUUCUGUAAUAUGAAACACAAGUAAUCCUCGAAAACUUGAAAGAAAUUCAGUUUCCAUCGAAAAUAACGAAACUCGCUAUGGUUAAAGUUUCUUGAUAAGUAUCACGAAACUCAGGCGAUUCGUCAAAAAAGUUCUUUCGUAAUAUACAACGCACGACGCUCAAAGACCUCCUAAUAAGAAUUACGUAAUUCAAAAGAUUCGUCGAUAAAAUUCUUUGCGAAUAUAAAACGGAUAUGACCGUCGAGAAAUUUCAUCCACAAACACAGCAAAGUUCAUCGUUCUUAGAGACCGUAGCAACAUGUUUUCCUUCUGUACAUACGACACGAAUAAUUCUAGAAAAUUGAUAUAAUUUCGUCUAAGGACACCAGAGAUCGAUUACGAAUCACCAAGUUCGAACGAUUUGUCAACAAAACUUCUUUCUUCGCGUACAACGCGAAUAAUCCUGGGAAAAUUGAUCCAGUCUUUGAAAAUAACAAGGUUUCUUCCUGUGAUUUCGAUUGGUUUGGAUCGACACGAUGGGUAGCGGUCCGCGGAGAGGUCAGAGAUGGUAAACGGUGUCGAUUAUAGACGAGCCUGUUGUGGUGGUGGCAGCGUAGCAUGACUGGUAGCCGAUAUAUCUGUAUACGUGUCCGUCCCAGCCGCCCGUGACCACGUGGCCUUGUCCUUGUACGACGUCGACGUCGAGCGUUCCGUGCCACCGACACCCGUCGUCGGUCGCCGUGGAACCUUCCUACGAAGAGCCGCGGCGGAGAGAAGAGAGAUGUCCCAGCUCAGCUCGCGUGUGCGCCCGAGCUUCUCGCUCUCCACAUAUAAAUGCACACAGCCAAUACAUGUAGAGGUAGGAAUGUGUGCUCGUGAACGCGUUUACGUGGAGCAAAGGCGCCGUUUAACGCGGAAUUACGAGGUAAUUCGUCUCUUGCCAACCGGCAACUGCGUCACCCGUAACUGUAAAUCUUCUACCUAUCGAUUCGAUGCAACCUUGGACAGCGGCUAAUUGAGAGGUUUAGAGGAAACGCGGUGCGAGUGAUCGAAUCUUUAACUCGAGAAUGACGUGAGCAAAGAACGCGCGUAAGGAUACUGGACACAUCACAGAACCGCAUUACAUAAACCGGAGACACAAGAACAAUUUCUAUAAUUUGGAAAAAAUCAUUUGUCACAGUAUCGUCGAAUACUGCAGUUUCUCUUUCAUUUCAUCGAAUUGCGAGAUCCCCACGGAGGAAAAUAAACUAUAACAGAUAUUGACCAAAUUUCUGAAAUUCCCCUUCGCGAUUACGAUGGAAACCCGAUGGCAAACUGUAAAUUGGCUGAACGAAACGAUUAAAUGAAAGUUUGCGUUAACGCGACGUAAAUCUAACAUAGUCUAAUUAAGAAACGUAUCUACAAUUAUUCCUACGAUAAAAAGAGUUCCCUUAAUCCCCUAAUCCUAACUCAACCACUCAGCAAAAAACCUACCGACGCAAUUGUCCCAAUCGGAAAUAAUAAAUUCCCCAUAUCUUGGCGUCUGUCUUGGUAUCGUUGAGUCACCGCACUUGCACAAAGCUUCGAAACCGACGCUACGUUUCAUCUUCUCUCGAUAUAAGAAACUAUCUCUAAAGAAAGAACCUAAGAAGCAGACGGAAACAACAAGAAGCCUUGAGAGGGGGCAGAGAAAACGGAACUCGUCUCCGCCACCGUGUUGGACACGUGACACGGAUUUCGAGAUCGGAGGAUGGCCGGUCGACGUGGCAUAUACGACGAAAGCACGCGAUGCAUCUAAACCGGGAACACGUGAGAACCAGUUCGGAUCCAGUUCCCCCGGCUGCAGUUGCACCGGCUGGCGGUGGCGGUCGCAUCGAUCGCCUGGUCGCCAAGGCUGCGUCUUAUUCGGGCAAGGCCAAGGUCGUUGGCUGGCAUUGCCGUCGAGCGAAGGUGAGAUCGCAAUUUCCCGCACGGGGGUUGCGCGCGGAAAGUGCAGCCGGGGUCACGGGCGAUCCGCGAGAUCGAACCAACCGUUCUUGGCAUUGGUCGGGAUCGAUGCGAAAACAGGGAGCAAAGGGAUACAGAAGUCGCGGCAAGGAGAAGAGGACAGGCAUUGGUCUGACGUGCCAACAAAUUUUGUGUAGUUUCUGUUGGCACUCCGGUAUCAAGGACAGCCUUCAUUCUUGACUCGAGGCGGAAACGCGCGAUCUUUCGCCGUUUCGAUCGUUCCAACGUCCUAACCAAACAACAUUGGAAGAGAACGGAGAAGAGAAGCGAAGUAGGAAGGGAGUUGUUUUGGUGAGUCAAACUUAAUUGUUUCUUCAUCUGCACGAUGAUUACGAAGGAUUGCAGUUGGAAAUGAAUCGCAAUUAUUGUCAUCGUUUGCUAAUUAUUGACGUAGAAUCGAUUCUAUUUGCAUUGAAAUACAUUGAUACAUUGUUAACCGGGCACGUGUAUAAAAUCGAUUGCAUAUGCAUUAAGUUAUGUAAUUAUUAAUAUAUGGAAUUGUUUAUGUCGUUGUCAGAACGUCGUUUACUGUACCGAGUGAUGACUGUUUUCUCUUGAUUUCUAAGAUUUUUCCGAUAAACGUUGAUAUCAUUAAGUUUUGUAAAACAACAGGUCGGAAAUUUUGUUAAUCGCCUGUAUAUCGACGUUACAUAAGGUGGUCACUUCAAAUAGUUUUAAGAAGAUUUCCUAUUAAUAUACUUAAAAAUAGUACAUUUUAUAAAUAAAAGAUACGAAA